UUGAUAUUUUUCCAGUUUAAAAAACACAAAAUGAAAUAAAAUCUCAAUUUUUAUAAAACAUUUUCCAAAGAAAUGUCCAUAAAUCUGAUUUUAUCGAUUAUCAACCAGUAGCAGAGGCUGUUUUUAGCCUGCCUCUUUUGGUUUUAGGUCUGUUUUCUGUUUGUAUUGUGGGAUCUUAUUGGCUCGUACUCUUUUCUGUCUCACUCUGGUGGUUUUUCUCUGUUUUCUGUGGACAGGCGUCCAUCCUGUCCUUUAAUGUUCCUCCAGUCUGUGAUAGCAGAUGGAGUCUGUUGGUUUUUAACUCAAAUGACACUCAGGCCUCCACUCUCAGAUGUACAUAGUCUUUUUUUUUUUUUUGCUUUAUGUGUUCAACAGAUAUCACCAUAAGCUGUUUUUGUUUUUCUCUUCCUGUCCUGGUAUGUUUCUGUGAAAUGAAUACUAUUUUAUCACAAACUUUACUUCCUCUUUCACAUCUUUCAGACUUUUUCCAACCAUUUGCAGCUUCUACCAACACAGCUGCCUCUGAUUUUUACUCCGCCAAGGAACGGCUGAGUUAUGUGACGAUCGGCGUACGUUUGUGAAUUUGAUAAUCUGUGAAUCUGCCUGUCUGUCUGUCUGUCUGUCUGUCUGUCUGUGUGAAACAUUACUCAAAAAUGGACAAACGGAUUUGGAUGAAAUUUUCAGGGGAAGUCAGACAUGACACAAAGACCACCUCAUUAAAUUUUCACAGUGAUGCAGCUUACAAUCUGGAUCCACGGCUUUGUUAAGGAUUUCCCACUGCCAGAUAUAGCUGCUGGCACGUGUAGCUGUAACCAUGACAACAAGUGAACAAUGCAUCAGUUACCUGCUGACAAUCACAUGAUUGUGAUCCUACUACAAAUUGAAGGUCAUGUCAGUGGCGGAUCUUCCGUGGGCGUGCGGGGCAGUGGCCCCCUCUGGGAUUUGAUUGGCCACCUCGUGUGCCCCCCCCCCGCAAUUUUCGUUGGAAAUUUACAUUACUGAAACUCCGAUUUCCGACGCUCCUGAACGCAACUUUGUUGUCCGACUGCAACUGAAUGCACCAAUGACGUUAGUUUGAUCUUUUGAUUGUAUUUCGUUUGAUUUGAAGAAGCUUUGAAGACGUUUCCUGAUGCCGGAGGAGAAGACGAGCAGCUUUGUACCUUUGCGGUACUCGGGAAACGUCAUCAUCGAGACUGCAUCGGACCAGACUAGAGACAUAGAUAUGAAUCAGUAGAUCGGACACGUCCAUAGAUAUGAAUCAGUAGAUUGGACACGUCCAUAGAUAUGAAUGAGUAGAUAAGACACGUCCAUUUGAGCUGCGUGCUACUGCGAGGCUAAGCUAGUGGGGGCAGUUUCAGUGCAUUCCAUUGACGUAGACGGCGUGAAAACAGAAACAACAAAUAUGCCGUCUCAGUGUGCUACAUACAAGUGCACACUACGUCGUACGAUUGAGACAAGGAAACUUGGAAUAACUUUUCAUAGGUUUCCCAGAGACUAUGGGUUGAGGAGGAAUUGGAAGUAUGUCGGCUUUGACCUGGUGUCAUUCCAUCAGUGUUAAACUUCCCGGCUCAUCUUGGAAGAGUACGUGCCAGAAAGACCACGACCAAGCAGCCUUGAGAUCUUAGGCAGCGUCUCCCUCAGGUCCCUCUCUAUCUCCCCACACAUCCACCAACCACUGGAACACAUCUCCAAAGUUCUGCCGGGCCAGCUCAGCUUCCCCUCAGAAGAAGUGCCGCCACCUGACAGAUGAAGGAGCCUUUUGAGAGGCAGCUGGCAUCGUGAUUGGACUGUACUUUGGUCUGUUCCAGUCCAGCUUCAGCUCCAGAGACGGCAGGCGGGACGAGUCAACGGAGGCCUGGUGGACGAAGGCAUGCAGCUGAGUACAAUCCAGAAAACAACAGAGGAGGAGUUCAGGGCCCAGAGCCAGAACAAACAGAGUAACAUCACCAAAGAACUACAAACUCUUCACAACCUGCUCAAACUCUUGGUACAGGACCUCACCACACGGAUCAAGAAGGUUUCUGUCUCAUUUCUACUCUGAAGCUCACCUUCUCCUGCUCAAACUGCUGACACAUGGAGGAGCCUCAAGAUAGUCGUCCAAAUGAAACCAUACAAAAACCAAACUAGCACAACCCAAACGCUAAAGUCUCCUGCAGCCUACCAGAGAACCUCUGAGAACAGAGAAUCAGGACAGGAACUCUUACCUUCUGGACAACCAACGAUGGUUCACAAACAAGAAUACAGAAUGUGUCUGACCAAAAACCUCUGAAGACUCACUACAGCCAAGAUAAAGACACAACUCAGGUGCACCAAAUCCACUAAUCACUGCACACAUCAGCACCAUGUGCUCACUGUGGCUAAAGAACCACAUUUACCAAGACAACUAUCCAGUACAAAGCCCUGAAACACACCAAGAAACACAUUAAAGACGAUUUUACUGCUGGAAGCUGCAAGCUAACGCCUAAAGAACAAACUGAAGUAAUGGAGCCAAACCCAGUUCUGUGGUGAAGAGAAACAGAGGAAAUGUUUGUCUGCAGCCCAAUAAAGCAGGAAGACACUGAGCUGCUCAGGUGUUCCUGAUAACACCAAGCAGCCACCUGGACAGCCAAUAGGAACACAGCUUCCUGGAAGUCCAGAGGGCUGGCUUAGUGAAGGAAAUUUAAUUUAAAGUUGAAGCAGAAAGUUAACAAAGAAAGUUGAAAACCACCUUCUGAUACCUGAAAUCUCUGAGUUUUCACACAAAGAACACCUGAACAUGUCAAACUGGUUCCAUAGUAGAACCAUCAUUGUAAAAACGUCAUAGUAUGGUGUGUUGCUCAAAAAACAUUAGGACCCGGCUGUCAGGGGACAAACAUGUAAGAAACAUGAGAACAGAGAGAACCCAACCAGUAGGUCACAGUUUAUCAUCCCCCAGUCAUCUCCUGAAGUCCAUAUGCUGUAUUACAACCAGGAAGAAGACCCUUCAGAGGUGGCGAGUCAUGGUGAGUUUAAUGGACAGUUUUCUUGGCUGGUUAUUAAAAUGUCACAUCCAUAACUUCAAGAUUAAUACUGAGGUAAAGUUAUUUCUAUUUAUUAUUUAACACAAGCAAAUAAGCUUUAGUUCUAAGAAAUGUCAUACCACUAAUUAAUGAGAGGGCUAGAACCGUCUAAACAACUGUUAUUUAAAAGUAGGGAGCAUGAUUAUACAUUAAAUCAUACAGAUCUUAAUAUGGCAUUUACAUCACUUAUUCACAAGGAAUGCUUGUAAUAAUAAUACUUACUACUUCCCCUUCCAUAAAUUUGGGAAACGGGUUUGUAACUUUGGUUAAAAUGCUCCAGCUCUCUGUUAUGAUUAGGCAGACUUACUAAAGUCACUGGUUAACUCAAAUAAAGUUAACGUACAGUGAGUUUUUGUGACAGUGACACGCAAAAUUAUUUUACAAUCAGAUGUUUUUGAAGUAUAAACCCCAACAACAGAAAAGACAAGAGUAGUAGUUCUUAACAGUAACUGCAUUUGAUUUAUCAGUAAAGAAAUAUUAUACUGUAUACACAAUUAUGGCAGUGGUAUUAAAUUUGCAUACAGAUGUGACAGUCUGUUCUGGGUGUGGCAAUAUUUAAAUGCAAUUGGAUUUGUAGCCAAGAGGCGCCUUCCGAUUUCAAGUUGGAAAGUGGUUUGUGUCAUUAAAGGCACAUUAAAGGCAGUUUUGGUUUCUUUAAGUGUUACUGUAUGAGGUACUUAUCCACAUAGUCAGUGUGUUAUCUACAGUAGAUGACAGUGUGCAUGCCUUCAGUUGGAAGAAGCAGAGAGGACUGCUGGCAGAGAAACAAGCCUAUUAGCUUGCUGUGAAUGGAUUUAGCAGCAAAAUGUAUUUUAGUGUAAGCCAUAAUCCUAUCUGCUCCAUGGGCGCCUUGGAGUGGCUGACCACAGCUUUCUAACAAGCUGGCCUUUGUGAAAAGAGAAUUUCCCCUCUGCAGGACUGUUAAAGUAUUGUAUUUCUACACAUACUUGCUCUAUGGCUGUGAAAAUGUAGUCCUAAACAAAAGUGCUGUCAGGUGGCAAAUUUAGUGUACUCUAAAUACCAGCAACAACGUGCCACCUUCCAACCGAAGGUGCUGUGUGAUAGUGGCUGGUUACACUUUGCUGUUGAUCAGACUGUCCCAUCAGUACCAUGUUAAAGAUGCAAUUAAUGUUAAUUAUCUACCUUUAUGACAAGUACUAUUGGAAAUGUAUACAUAUCUACUUUUAUUUCUACCAGUACAGAUAGUGUAGUGCAUGAAAAUGUGCUUGAAAUACAUGAAACUGCUCUGAUUGCUGGCAUUACGAUGGGUGCUUCUGUUUGAGCUAGCCUCAGUAUUAAUGCCCUGAUAUUAGAGAAACAGCACACUCUAGUCUACAUGGUAUCAGUAAAGAGAAUGCUGUUAAUAACCUUAUCAUAGCGUCAGAUAAUGGACUGGUCUCUAUACUUAUUUUAUUGGACCUUAGUGCAGCAUUCGAUACAAUCGACCACAAACUUUUAUUACAGCGACUAGAACAUUGUAUUGGCAUUAAAAGGACAGCACUGGACUGGUUUAAAUCCUACUUAUCAGACAGGUUCCAGUUUGUGCACGUCAACAAAGACUCUUCUGAGAAUACUAGGGUUAAUCAUGGAGUUCCUCAGGGUUCUGUCUUAGGACCAAUACUGUUCACAUUAUACAUGCUUCCCUUAGGCAAUAUUAUUAGGAAGCACUGUAUUAAUUUCCAUUGUUAUGCUGACGACACUCAAUUGUAUUUAUCUAUGAAGCCAAAUGAAACUAAUCAGCUAGCUAGACUGCAAGAUUGUCUUAAGGACAUAAAGACCUGGAUGACCUAUAAUUUCUUACUACUAAAUUCAGACAAGACUGAAGUCAUUGUGUUUGGCCCCAAACAUCUUAGAGAAUUGCUUUCAAAGCAUAUAGUUACUCUGGAUGGCAUUACAUUGGCCUCCAGUACUACUGUGACGAACCUCGGUGUUAUCUUUGACCAGGACAUGUCCUUUAACUCGCACAUAAAACAAAUCUGUAGGACUUCCUUUUUCCACCUGAGAAAUAUUGUGAAAAUCAGGAACAUCCUGUCUCAGAGUGAUGCAGAAAAACUAGUCCAUGCAUUUGUUACUUCUAGGCUUGACUACUGUAAUUCCUUAUUAUCAGGUUGUCCCAAUAGCUCUCUGAAACAUCUACAACUGAUCCAAAAUGCUGCAGCCAGAGUACUGACGGGAGUUAGCAAGAGAGAUCAUAUUUCUCCUAUAUUGGUUUCUCUUCAUUGGCUUCCUGUUAAAUCUAGAAUAGAAUUCAAAAUCCUUCUUCUGACAUAUAAAGCUCUUAACAACUAAUCUCCAUCAUAUCUUAAAGACCUGAUAGUACCAUAUUAUCCUAGCAGAACUCUUCACUCUCAGACUGCAGGCUUACUUGUUGUUCCUAGAAUCUCUAAAAGUAGAAUGGGAGGCAGAGCCUUCAGUUAUCAGCUCCUCUCCUGUGGAACCAGCUCCCAGUUUGGGUUCAGGAGGUGGACACCCUCUCUAUUUUUAAGACCAGGCUUAAAACCUUCCUUUUUGACAAAGCUUAUAGUUAGGGCUGACUGGGGGACCCUGACGGGGUAUGCUGGUGUUUUCAUUUGCACAACUGACUUCCCCUCUUGACGUCCCUUUAGUUUGCCCCUAGUUAUGCUGCUAUAGGCCUAGGCUGCUGGGGAACCUCUCUUGAUGCACUGAGCCCUUCUCUAACUACCUAUGUAUUUACAAUAUAUACCAUUAUUGCAUUACACUCACUCUGUUUCUUUCUGUGUCCUUUCUCCGAGUGUCCCUGGUCCCAGAACUGGAUGCUUCAGAUGUGUGGUUGUUCUCCCACCUCCAGCUGCCCAUUUCCACCAAUCUACUCUGCAUUGCCCUUACUAUACUUGAUUUGCUCAUCUACAUAUUUUUGAAUUUACCACCAGCUAUAUAUGUAGUAUAUUUAAUGCCAGAGCCAUACACCAUAGCAGUAAACUAUAAUUAGUUCCCAUGUUAGUUGUACUUCGCAUGUAUCAUCUGUCUUAUCAUGCAUGUAUUAUACUGUGUGUUUUAUGGUCCUUGUGUCCCCCCCACCUCUCUAUCUCUACCUCUACCCCUCUAUCUCUACCUCUAUCCCUCUAUCUGUAUCCCUCUAUCUCUAUCUCUACCCCUCCAUCUCUACCCCUCUACCUCUUCCCCUCUACCUCCAUCCCUCUAUCUCUACCUCUCUACCUCUUCUGUCCCUCUCAACCCGCCCGGCCAGCAGCAGAUGGGUCCCCCCACAUAAAGAGCCGAGUUCUGCUCGAGGUUUUUUUCCCUGUUAAAAGGGUGUUUUCCUUGCCACUGUCGCCUUUUGGCUUGCUCUGGGGUUCAGGCAUAUGGUGUCUGUAAAGCGUCUCGAGACAAUUUGACUGUAAUUGGCGCUAUAUAAAUAAAAUUGAAUUGAAUUGAA